rnacentral:misc_RNA from 1 species
GAUGAAGAACGUAGUGAAAUGCGAAAAGUAGUGUGAAUUGCAGAAUUCAGUGAAUCAUCGAAUCUUUGAACGCACAUUGCGCCCCUUGGUAUUCCAUGGGGCAUGCCUGUUCGAGCGUCAUUUGUACCUUCAAGCUCUGCUUGGUGUUGGGUGUUUGUCCCGCUUUUUGCGUGGACUCGCCUCAAAGCAAUUGGCAGCCGGCGUACUAGCCUGGGAGCGCAGCACAUUUUGCGCAUCUCGACUGGAACGCUUGCGUCCAUUAAGCCUACACUUUUGCUCUUGACCUCGGAUCAGGUAGGGAUACCCGCUGAACUUAAGCAUAUCAAUAAGCGGAGGA